ensembl:lncRNA novel transcript, antisense to MAPKAP1
GGUGCCCGUUCUGACUGAAGUGCAGCCGUCUUAACUGAGGGGCGUUCCUGGUGGCUAACAGCUUAGGAAAACGAGGGCCCAAGAGGCAGGAACCAGCUUGGAGCCACACGGCUGCCACCUGUGGAGGGCAGAGCCCAGUGGUUAAGAGCAGGGCUACCGUGUCCGCCAGUCAUUCAUGGUCCUCAGUGAAACACCGGUCCCCGGCCCUGGCUGGGGACAGUAAGGACAUCACCGCAGGAGGGACACUGAAGAGGCUGUCGAGGACUGCAGAGGCAUCUGGUGUGGCCAGAGGCGUGGUGUCAGGGGCAUCUGAUCCCUUGCCUGUUCCCACCCAGGGAGCCGGACGGCACGGACACAGGUCUCCCUCCGCUCACCCCUCUCCCUGAAACGUGAGAAACAGCAGCUUUCCGCCUGCUUGAAAAAGGAGGCAGGCGCUGUAAGGAGAAGAGGAAUGGGGAAUGUGGCCCCUUCCAAGGCAGCGAAGCAGAGAACAUGCAGGUGGAACUGCCAGCUGAAACCUACACUUGCUACUUAAGAAACGGAAAGACCAUGUCUGGCUGGGAGUGCAGCGUGCCUGAGGACCAGCCACCGCCCCUCCUCCUGGCACCCCACACUGUCCACGCAGCUCCUGGGCUCUGAGGUCAGAAGCUGGGGUGUGCUGAAGGGGAAAGUGACACGGCCUUGGACACACCACUAGGUCUCUGUUCCUAACUUUUAGUAAGACACUACCCUCGAAGCAAAUGCACUCAUUUAAACAAAUGGCAUAGUUAAAACUAUUGACUAAGACCUAAACAUUUCUUCUGAGAAAUCGAACCAUAGCUUUUCCAAUCUGCCUGUUCAAUAUGGGAACAGAUUUUAAAGAGAGUAACAUAAUCAAUCCUCCGCCCCAAAGAAUGGUCCAUCAUACCAACCAUGAUAAAGAGUACACCUGUUUAUUAAAAGGAAAAACAGAAA